rnacentral:lncRNA from 1 species
GUCAACCGAUCGGUUCCUAGACAACUAGGUAGCCGAUUUAUUUGGGAGCCGAACUUUCGGUUCGGUUCGGUCAUCGGAUUUAACCGAACACAACACAAGUCCUCAAUCACGAAUUAUUUCAUAUACCAUGCAUGCACAUCUCUGCACAUGCAACAGUUCGAAUGACAACGAUGACUACAUGCAUGCUAGCUUUAUUGUUUUGCCCAUGCAUCCUUUCUGAGUAGGAAGUCGAUGUGGUACUAACACGUGAAUGCACCACUUCCCUGUGCUACAGAACUAGUAUUGUGGGCUAAUUGAUAGAAUGAUUUUGGGAAGUAUUAAACGUGUGGGCCAAUAGAAAAAAUUGAAAGUUAAAAAAGGCCCAAAGAGGCUGAGAGCUACAUUGGGAUGACUUGCACAACUCGGUUGGGGCAGCGAGAAUACGGAAG